AACACAUGCCAAGUCGAACGGCAGCACAGGAGAGCUUGCUCUCUGGGUGGCGAGUGGCGGACGGGUGAGGAAUACAUCGGAAUCUACCUUGUCGUGGGGGAUAACGUAGGGAAACUUACGCUAAUACCGCAUACGACCUUCGGGUGAAAGUGGGGGACCGCAAGGCCUCACGCGAUUAGAUGAGCCGAUGUCGGAUUAGCUAGUUGGCGGGGUAAAAGCCC
rnacentral:rRNA from 1 species